rnacentral:rRNA from 1 species
UACAGAGGGUGCAAGCGUUAAUCGGAAUGACUGGGCGUAAAGAGCUCGUAGGCGGCUAGAUGUGUCAUAGGUGAAAUCCCCGGGCUUAACCUGGGAACUGCCUGUGAAACUGUGUAGCUAGAAUAUAAGAGAGGUAAGUGGAAUUUCCGGGGUAGCGGUGAAAUGCGUAGAUAUCGGAAAGAACACCAGUGGCGAAGGCGACUUACUGGCUUAAUAUUGACGCUGAGGAGCGAAAGCGUGGGGAGCAAACAGG